CACGCAGGCGGAUUGAUAAGUCAGGGGUGAAAUCCCGGGGCUCAACCUCGGAAUUGCCUUUGAUACUGUCUAUCUUGAGUUCGGGAGAGGUUGGCGGAAUUCCUAGUGUAGAGGUGAAAUUCGUAGAUAUUAGGAAGAACACCAGUGGCGAAGGCGGCCAAUUGGCCCGAUACUGACGCUCAUGUGCGAAAGCGUGGGGAGCAAACAGGAUUAGAUACCCUGGUAGUCCACGCCGUAAACUAUGGAUGCUAGCCGUUGGAGAGCUUGCUCGUUCAGUGGCGCAGCUAACGUCUUAAGCAUCCCGCCUGGGGAAUACGGUCGCAAGAUUAAA
rnacentral:rRNA from 1 species